rnacentral:rRNA from 1 species
CACCAGAGCCACAAGUGGCAAUCCUGAUUAUUGGGCCUAAAGGGUUCGUAGCUGAUUCAAUAAGUCUUUUUGUGAAAUUGUUAGACUUAAUCUAACAGUGUGCAAAAGAUACUAUUGAUUUUGAGACCAGGAAGAGGCAGAAGUAUUCUAAGGGGAGCGGUAAAAUGUUAUAAUCCUUAGAGGACUACCUAUGGCGAAGGCAUCUGUCUAGAAUGGGUCUGACAGUGAGGGACGAAGGCUAGGGGAGCAAACCGGAUUAGAUACCCCAGUA